rnacentral:rRNA from 1 species
AACACAUGCAAGUCGAGGGGCAGCAUGGUCUUAGCUUGCUAAGGCCGAUGGCGACCGGCGCACGGGUGAGUAACGCGUAUCCAACCUGCCUUACACUCUUGGACAGCCUUCUGAAAGGGAGAUUAAUACAAGAUGUUAUCAUGAGUAAGCAUUUUCGCAUGAUUAAAGGUUUACCGGUGUAAGAUGGGGAUGCGUUCCAUUAGAUAGUAGGCGGGGUAACGGCCCACCUAGUCUUCGAUGGAUAGGGGUUCUGAGAGGAAGGUCCCCCACAUUGGAACUGAGACACGGUCCAAACUCCUACGGGAGGCAGCAGUGAGGAAUAUUGGUCAAUGGACGAGAGUCUGAACCAGCCAAGUAGCGUGAAGGAUGAAGGUUCUAUGGAUUGUAAACUUCUUUUAUACGGGAAUAAACGGAUCCACGUGUGGAUUUUUGCAUGUACCGUAUGAAUAAGGAUCGGCUAACUCCGUGCCAGCAGCCGCGGUAAUACGGAGGAUCCGAGCGUUAUCCGGAUUUAUUGGGUUUAAAGGGAGCGUAGAUGGGUUGUUAAGUCAGUUGUGAAAGUUUGCGGCUCAACCGUAAAAUUGCAAUUGAUACUGGCAGUCUUGAGUACAGUUGAGGUAGGCGGAAUUCGUGGUGUAGCGGUGAAAUGCUUAGAUAUCACGAAGAACUCCGAUUGCGAAGGCAGCUUACUAACCUGUAACUGACAUUGAUGCUCGAAAGUGUGGGUAUCAAACAGGAUUAGAUACCCUGGUAGUCCACACGGUAAACGAUGAAUACUCGCUGUAGGCGAUAUACAGUCUGCGGCCAAGCGAAAGCAUUAAGUAUUCCACCUGGGGAGUACGCCGGCAACGGUGAAACUCAAAGGAAUUGACGGGGGCCCGCACAAGCGGAGGAACAUGUGGUUUAAUUCGAUGAUACGCGAGGAACCUUACCCGGGCUUAAAUUGCAACCGAAUAUGGCGGAAACGCUAUAGCUAGCAAUAGCGGUUGUGAAGGUGCUGCAUGGUUGUCGUCAGCUCGUGCCGUGAGGUGUCGGCUUAAGUGCCAUAACGAGCGCAACCCUUGCCGAUAGUUACUAACAGGUCAUGCUGAGGACUCUGUCGGGACUGCCAUCGUAAGAUGUGAGGAAGGUGGGGAUGACGUCAAAUCAGCACGGCCCUUACGUCCGGGGCUACACACGUGUUACAAUGGGGGGUACAGAGGGCUGCUACCACGCAAGUGGAUGCCAAUCCCAAAAACCUCUCUCAGUUCGGAUUGAAGUCUGCAACCCGACUUCAUGAAGCUGGAUUCGCUAGUAAUCGCGCAUCAGCCACGGCGCGGUGAAUACGUUCCCGGGCCUUGUACACACCGCCCGUCAAGCCAUGGGAGCCGGGGGUACCUGAAGUGCGUAACCGCAAGGAGCGCCCUAGGGUAAAACUGGUGACUGGGGCUAA